rnacentral:lncRNA from 1 species
UCAACAAGCAGGACACCAGGGCUGAGAUCUCUAAUUUUUUAAACUAGUUGCAUGGCUUGGACAAAUUUCCAUCUCUUUAAGGAGGUAUCCUAUUUGUGCAAUGACACAGAGCUUAGCAACUGUUUUAUUCUAUAUAUAACGUGACUAAAUCAAAUUCACUUUAUUUUAGUACUUGGGUCAGAGGUCAACAGAAAAUUUAGAGUAGAAUUUUUUCAAACUUUACCAGUACAUCUGAGCCCUGGGUGGUUCUGAGGAAACAAAAUAGACAAGGAUAAGAACUGUUAGUAUUAAGAUGUAGAUUUGCAAAAAAAAAAAAGCAACAGGUAUUUGAAAGCAAAUUUCCACUGUUUCAUCUAGAUCUGAUUCUUGGUCAUCAGGACUAUUUCAGCCCCUGUCUAGAGUCAGGGUAGUUCUGUGGUGAAUCAGCACUCCUUUCCUGAAGGGAGCAUGUGCCUAUUAGCUCAUCUCAGUGAAUUCUGUUAUGAUGUCUGGCUUGAUAAAAAUCUGUGUGCAGUAAAAAUCAGUAAAAAGCCCAUCUCCCCACCCCCAAGUAAAAAGCCCAUCCCAUCUGCUUUGUUCUUAUAAAGUUCCACCAAAAGAAAUCUGUAUAAUGGAGGACUUUGUAUGUACUGGUUCACUGUGCCAGUUCACUUCAUAAAUUGUUUCUUUAAAGAUAUGAUUUUCUUGUUAUAGUUCUAUGCACUUAUUAUCUGAGUAACUGUUUAAAUAUACUUAAAUGUUUUCC